CCAUAUUACUCUUAGUUACUAUAUAUUACAUAUUAUACUAUGCAAAUCAAGAGUUUAGUGGCAGGUAAUAUCCGUGGUUAUAAUGUUAUCUUGGACUUAUUUUCUUUAGUAGAAAAUAUUUGUAUUUGUUGUUUUUGAUGUUUCUGAGUUCUUCUGCUCCUCUAACGCUAUUUCUUCUUAGCAUAUACGUUGUACUGGACCGUCGAUUUAAUGUAUUAGUUCUUCACUAACACAUCACAAAUGUAUUACUCUCGUUCUUAAGCUUAUUCACCACCAUGCUAGUUCCAUAAAGAGCAUGCGCACUAGUUCCAUUUCAUAGUCGCUGCAGCAGCUUUAGUUCUCACGACAAGCAGCGAGAAGAGAAUAUUGGAAGUUUGCCAGAGUAGAGAACAGCCGUGUAUGUCUGUAGAACGUAGAAAACCACAAGUAUCGUUGCUUUACUUUCCUAGAGAUGGACUAAACGCUUGGUGAUUGUACAUGUGCGUAAAUAAAUCGUUCGAAUUUUCUAGACUCUGUUGAGGUUGACCGAGUGAAGAGUUUCUCUACUCGCUUUUUAUAUAUUUUGAAAUUUCUAGGAACUUGAAACUUCAACGGUAGGCAUUACACGAUGAGCUAAUCUACUACAUGGCUGAAGAAGCCAAGCUCAACGAAGCAGAACUAUUAGAAGAAGAAGCAAAACAUGUAAAGCUAAGACUAUUACUUGCUGAGUAUACCUGACGAUAUACGCACCCCAAGCCUUCUGAAGGUUUGUAAAGGUACCGAAAAUAACUUCCCAGUUAACUAUUUCUGCGGCAUUUGGAUUAUAUAUUUUACUGGAAUUAGUUCCAUUCAGCCAGCGACUGUUGCAAUUUUAACCUUUUUCCUAGCUUAGAAACAGUACGUUUGUUGCUUUUAACAGGCGAUUACAUUUUCAGAGCGAUGUUAAAUAGCACAGUGGCGUUUUAAUUAAUCCUUGCUUACAUGUUUGAUCCUUAAACGUUUCGUUUCUACGGGAUCCUCUAACUUUUCUAAGAUAGCUUAGAAUCAGGAGGUACAGAAGUCCACUCUUUCCUAAUAUAUUAAUCAUUUACCAGUUAUAUCAUAAAACCAAAACUACUUUACCAGAAACUAAUUCGGGGGUAUUCUAUAUGAGUUUUUAGAGAUCGUGUUCUAAACAAUCUGAUUCUCGUUAUUGUCUAAAACUUCAUCUUUUGUCCCUAGCUGUGAGGUUAAAAUCAUGAUCGUAGUUUUUAAUGCUAAAAGUUAAAAGUUUUUGGUGAAAGGAAAUAAUUUAAAAAUAAAAGAUUAUUUUCGAAUGUUUUCACAUUUGUAUUUACAAAAAAUCGAGUAAAAACUAUGAGGAACUGUGUCAUCAGUUUUUUAAGUUUCGACAGUUUUUAGUUAAAACAAAUGUUUAUAUUAUUAGCAAUAUUUCAGUUUAAUUUGUAUCGUGAUAAUUAUUGUUAGAAAAGAAACACUUUAGAAUUUAUUGUUAAAGUAAACUAAACAUUAAGCACGACGAGAAAUCGUUGUUAAAAAGAUUAAAACGUUCUGUUGAUAAUAUUAUGUUGUGGGUAUACAGGAAACCACCCAAAAAGUUAUUCAUUGUUGUACAAAAACAUUAAGAAUUUUAUGCUAAAUUGGUAUUGACGAAACGUCAAAUGUCCAGUUUGUAAUGGAAGUACUGUUAACCUGUGUACUGAGAGUAUUGUUAACCACUGUAAUGAAGGAUUGUCCUUCACUGUGUGAUGGAAGUACUGUUAAUAGCAACAUUUGAAGAAAGUGAAAUUUUUGAAAGACCGCUAUUGCACUGUGAAACUGAAAGCCGUUUUGACAGCAAGAAGGGUAUUAAGAAAACAGCUGGAUUCACCGCAUAAUCAAACCUGUGAAAUACGUUUUUACAAGUAUCAUCUAGACUCUAGAUAUUUAUUCAGAUCCUAGACAUUGGAGGUUAGCAAGGAAGUCUGAGGAAUAACCAUCGAUUUUUCAAAAGAAAGAUAUGCACGCCAAGCCAACUAGAAUACGAAUACCUGAAGUACUAUUUCAUUAUCAAGUGCACGUCGAAACAGAUAUUGAAGUGAUCCACUAGACACUGUAACCCGACAAAACAGUGAGAAGACAGACACUGUCGUACACUAUUUACAGUUACAGGACUUCUAAAUACUCUUGAGAUUUGUCCAUAAUGCCUAAGGAGCACGUGCUCAUUAAUGAGAAGGACUGUGAGCCACGCUUCUGUUCCACUUCCUAAACACUUUACCGGCUACUAUUUUACGAUCAGUAAAGAAACAGGAAAGCAAGUGUGAAAAGGGAACUGGAAGCUGAAACACAAAACGUUAUUUAUUAUUCAGCUGAUGUUGAAAUUAUAAGUAAAACAGGUAACACAGUCUCGUACGAGAGGGCUCCCACGAAGACUCGAGGAUGGCUGAUUCCCACCUGCAUUAUUACCCAUGUUACAACCUUGAGAGCCGACAUUAU